GACGAACCGAGCGAACGUUGUUCGGAAUCACUGGGCUUAAAGGGCGCGUAGGCGGGUAUUCAAGUCUAUGGUGAAAUCCGGCAGCUCAACUGUCGAAUUGCCGUGGAUACUGGGUAUCUCGAGGGAGGUAGGGGCGUGCGGAACUAAUGGUGGAGCGGUGAAAUGCGUUGAUAUCAUUAGGAACUCCGGUGGCGAAGGCGGCGUCCUGGACCAACACUGACACUGAUGAGCGAAAGCCAGGGGAGCAAACGGG
rnacentral:rRNA from 1 species